rnacentral:miRNA from 1 species
AACCUCAUCAACCGGAAGGGAUUCCUUCCGGUCGAUGGGGUCGUUGUACCUCAUCGAUCUGAAGGAAAUCCUUCCAAUCAAUGAGGUAUAACAACCUCAUUGACCGGAAAGGAUUCCUUCCGGUUGGUGAGGCC